AGAACACAAAUGACACAAUUCAUUUUUUACAAACUCAUAAGGAUCUAAUAUCUUCAAAAUAAGAAUUUAAUGACAGCAUUUGCUAAAGUAUGUGUUCAGAAAGAUUUCUGAUUUAUUAGAUAAAAAUAUUCUUUACUCAACAUACUCUGUUUUAAGUAACAGCUAUGUUUACAGACAUCAAAUCUGUUGGCCUUUUCUCAAGAUUUCAUUCUCAGAAGAUCAUCUUCUCCUGCUGGCAGCUAGAGAGGAACCCUACUGAAUGACACCAUUGUCUCCCUCCAAUUGUGGUCUUUAGGUACUUGUCCUGUUCCUACUAUUUGACCGUGAGCUCCCUGAGGGCAGGGAAUUAGUCUUACUUUUGCAUCCAGAGUCUGAUCAAAUAUCGCCACAGAGUGGACACUCAGCUCCUUUGGCAAAAUAGAAUCUAACCAGCCUCUAUCUGGACCAUAUCCUGAUCCAUUUGGGAUGAAGAAAAUCUAACAGCUAUGUGCUUUGGGGAUCACGUGAAUGACAGAUGGCUCAUAGAGCCACAGAAGUUUCAGUCUCGUGUGGAUCCAGCUUACCAGCUACAGAAAGCAGUAGAAGAUUUUGAAAGGUCCUGCCUGCAGUCUCUAUUAAGAAAAAAGCUUAUUAUCACAGCUACUUUCAGAACUCAGAUUUGACUACCUUUUUUCCUUUAAUCCCUCAAAAAUGAUGUUCACCAAGGUCUGGAUCUGCCCUGGAUUGGGUCUCUAGAUUUCUUAGCAUCAGCUGUAGUGGAGAUGAGCAACAGGAAGACUCUCCUGGACAGCCAACUCUGGACCCACACUGGAAACUCACUUCCUAAAUGACACGGAGCUAGAGGCCCUCAGAUUGGAAACACCUUUCAGGCAGCACCACGGGAGUCUCUAUUUAAACAGGUGACCUUGCGGAGAGAGGCUCCAGAUCCCAUUACCGACUGCCCGGCUGAGAGGCAGAUUUGUUUUUAUGAGCUCUCAAGGCACACAUUGGGGGCCUGGCGUAAAUAUGGAGAGAACUCGCUGAGACCUUGCUCCUUUUACACCUAUUAUAAAGAAAAAAUUAUGCACAGGCUUUUCAAGCAUAACUGCUUAAAAAUAGCAAAUGGCCAGUGAGCAAAGUGGUCAUCGUUCCAAUAAAGUUUUAAAUAUAUUUUAUCUUGGGUGGGGGGAUAAAAAAAAAAGAGUAUCUGAUAUUUCAGCCCUCCUGCUUCUUUCAGGGAAUGGAGGAAAGAGGAAAACAGCUGCUUGUAUAUGAAGGCGUUUAAGGGUCAAAUAUUGCUCUGCCCAGUGGUGCUGACAUCACUUAACUCUCCCCAGGAGAGGGGCACUGGCGUCAUUGGCUGGGCUGGCCCGCGCAGGCCUGAAGAUGGGCCGGCCCCAGCUCCCAUUCUGUUUCUCCUCGAGCACCUACAAGGUCAAUGACUGCAAAUGAACGUAGCAAUUAAGACUCUAAAAUUUUGUUUUUAUUGGCUUUUUCAGGAAAAAAAAAUUUUUUUCACAAUUUAUGAAAACACUGUGGAGCCAGUAAGUUAAGAUGUAAAUGUGAGUUUCAAACUUUGCAUAGUCAUUAGGUUAAUCAUUAGUCAUUUGUGGUUGACAAGGAGGGUUAUAAUUUGACACCUGGCAAAAAUCAAGCACAUUUCAGAGAAUUUGGAACUGGGAAAUGAGAUGGAAAAAACACCCUUUUUUCCCUAGGAGGUCCCAUGAAGUAACGUUUGCAAACCACUUUUCUCUCCAUAGAAGCAAACUGCCCGUGAUUCAGGGCUGUGAUGUUUCUCCAUCUCUGCCUGCUGGACACCCACCCCCCCUUGAGCCUUGUAAGAACUGGCCAAAGAAUCCAGCUCAGGAGGUUCCCAGAAGUGAACCUCCGGGAGUUAAGAGAAAAGAGAUAAAUAACUUCUCAAUUUGAUGCUCAAGCAACAAAAAGACCACCAGAAAGUUUCAGUGUCGAUUCAGAAGAUGUUUUCUGAAACAUCAUUGAGUCAUGGGAGAGAGGAAUUUUAGAAUGACAGAAUACUGAGUUCCUAGCUUCUCCAUAAAAUUCCAGACUUUUCUUCUGUCCGCUCUCUGUGGCCACUUUCUUUUGUGUGAUCAAAAUAUCGACCCCUGAGUUUGUAUUUUCUGACCUCCGACCUCUCACAGGUGUUCUGGCUCAUUUCCUGAGAGUUAUGUUUGAUUUGGGAAUGCUUCCCUCUUUUCUUCCAUUCCCUUGUUACAGUUUGAAACCUGGAACACCCGCAUAUAAGACCCCGACUAUCUCCCCGUGCUACCCAAAAAACACUCUUAAACGUUCUCUCAGAACUUGGCAAGCAUCUGGACAGGGACAGUUUUCUCACACUCUGGGAAGUCAAAGUGCACAGCAAUAGUUCUCUACACCAAUUCUUUAACCUGAGGAUAAAUUUCAGGAUCAUUUCUUGUUCUUUUUUCUUUUUCCUAUGUAAAACAAAUAGUUUCCCUAUUGUAGUACUAAAAGGAAAUCAAAUAAAUAACCUACUUAAGUUUUUAGUAUAUAACAAGAAAACAGAAAUGCUAAUCUUGGAUUCUUCAGGCCCAAACAAACAUCAGCCAAAAUCCAAAAAUUAUCCCCAGAUUGUUGCUUCAGAAGCAGUGCUUAACAUUUUCUUAAUAAAUUCCUCCUUCUCACUCAUUCUUUCCCUCCUCCCCCCACUCCAAGAUUCCAGAAGAGACUAGAAAAUAACACUUUUGGAAAUCAUGCCUUGUUUUUGUUUUGAAAUGAAGCUAGAGCCUCACUUGACACUACUAUUCUAUUAAUCCUGGUUGUCUUUAAAAACGAAAAAGCUUAAGAUACCUAAUAAAUCUUAAUAAAAAGA